rnacentral:rRNA from 1 species
GUGACCUGCGGAAGGAUCAUUACUGAGUGAGGGCCCCUCGGGGUCCAACCUCCCACCCGUGUUUAACGAACCUUGUUGCUUCGGCGGGCCCGCCUCACGGCCGCCGGGGGGCAUCCGCCCCCGGGCCCGCGCCCGCCGAAGCCACCUGUGAACGCUGUCUGAAGUAUGCAGUCUGAGACAAUUAUUAAAUUAAUUAAAACUUUCAACAACGGAUCUCUUGGUUCCGGCAUCGAUGAAGAACGCAGCGAAAUGCGAUAACUAAUGUGAAUUGCAGAAUUCAGUGAAUCAUCGAGUCUUUGAACGCACAUUGCGCCCUCUGGUAUUCCGGAGGGCAUGCCUGUCCGAGCGUCAUUGCUGCCCUCCAGCCCGGCUGGUGUGUUGGGCCCCGCCCCCCUUCCCGGGGGGGCGGGCCCGAAAGGCAGCGGCGGCACCGCGUCCGGUCCUCGAGCGUAUGGGGCUUUGUCACCCGCUCUUGUAGGCCCGGCCGGCGUCAGCCGACCCCCUCAAUCUAUUUUUUCAGGUUGACCUCGGAUCAGGUAGGGAUACCCGCUGAACUUAAGCAUAUCAAUAAGCGGAGGAAAAGAAACCAACCGGGAUUGCCCUAGUAACGGCGAGUGAAGCGGCAAGAGCUCAAAUUUGAAAGCUGGCCCCCUCGGGGUCCGCAUUGUAAUUUGCAGAGGAUGCUUCGGGAGCGGUCCCCAUCUAAGUGCCCUGGAACGGGCCGUCAUAGAGGGUGAGAAUCCCGUAUGGGAUGGGGUGCCCGCGCCCGUGUGAAGCUCCUUC